rnacentral:rRNA from 1 species
UACGGAGGGGACUAGCGUUGUUCGGAAUUACUGGGCGUAAAGCGCACGUAGGCGGAUUUGUAAGUCAGGGGUGAAAUCCCGGGGCUCAACUUCGGAAUUGCCUUUGAUACUGUCUGUCUUGAGUCCGGGAGAGGUGAGUGGAAUUCCUGGUGUAGCGGUGGAAUGCGCAGAUAUCAGGAGGAACACCAAUAGCGAAGGCAGCUCGCUGGGACGGUAUUGACGCUAAGGCGCGAAAGCGUGGGGAGCAAACAGG